GGUAACGUGGCCGAGUGGUCUAAGGCGCUGGUUUAAGGAGCCAUUCCUGGGGGCGUGGGUUCGAAUCCCACCGCUGCCA